UGGGGAAUAUUGGACAAUGGGCGAAAGCCUGAUCCAGCCAUGCCGCGUGUGUGAAGAAGGUCUUCGGAUUGUAAAGCACUUUAAGUUGGGAGGAAGGGCAUUAACCUAAUACGUUAGUGUUUUGACGUUACCGACAGAAUAAGCACCGGCUAACUCUGUGCCAGCAGCCGCGGUAAUACAGAGGGUGCAAGCGUUAAUCGGAAUUACUGGGCGUAAAGCGCGCGUAGGUGGUUUGUUAAGUUGGAUGUGAAAUCCCCGGGCUCAACCUGGGAACUGCAUUCAAAACUGACUGACUAGAGUAUGGUAGAGGGUGGUGGAAUUUCCUGUGUAGCGGUGAAAUGCGUAGAUAUAGGAAGGAACACAGUGGCGAAGGCGACCACCUGGACUAAUACUGACACUGAGGUGCGAAAGCGUGGGGAGCAAACA
rnacentral:rRNA from 1 species